rnacentral:rRNA from 1 species
UGGGGGAUAUUGCACAAUGGGCGAAAGCCUGAUGCAGCGACGCCGCGUGGGGGAUGAAGGCCUUCGGGUUGUAAACUUCUUUUGCUCUGAACAAGGCGCACCAUGGGGUGUGUUGAGUGUAGGGGUUGAUUAGCGCCGGCUAACUACGUGCCAGCAGCCGCGGUAAUACGUAGGGCGCGAGCGUUGUCCGGAAUUAUUGGGCGUAAAGGGCUUGUAGGUGGCUGGUUGCGUCUGUCGUGAAAGCUCAUGGCUUAACUGUGGGUUUGCGGUGGGUACGGGCUGGCUUGAGUGCAGUAGGGGAGGCUGCAAUUCCUGGUGUAGCGGUGGAAUGCGCAGAUAUCAGGAGGAAUACCGGUGGCGAAGGCGGGUCUCUGGGCUGUUACUGACACUGAGGAGCGAAAGCAUGGGGAGCGAACAGG